rnacentral:rRNA from 1 species
UACGGGGGGGGCAAGCGUUGCUCGGAAUGACUGGGCGUAAAGGGCGCGUAGGCGGAUGGCACAGUCAGAUGUGAAAUUCCCGGGCUUAACCUGGGGGCUGCAUUUGAUACGUGUGAUCUAGAGUGAGGAAGAGGGUCGUGGAAGUUCCCAGUGUAGAGGUGAAAGUUCGUAAGAGGAUGCGGGAGGAACACCAGGUGGGACCGAA